rnacentral:lncRNA from 1 species
ACCGACUAAUUCUUUCAACUCGUUCAAAAACUCUCCGUGUAAAGAGAUGUCACGUUCGUCGAACACGACUCUGUGAGUUUCGAGGAUAGUUCUGAUUCUGUUGCAGUUUUCGAAUGUGGAACGGACGCCACCCAAAGAGGUGGUGUAUAGAACCAGUGAGUCGGCUCCGCCCGGUGGACAUUUCUCUUCGAACUCGCUUAAUAGGUCGCGUUUGACAAAGGUUGAACUUUUACCCUCUUUUUCUCUCUCUAAUCUGUCUCUCACUAUGAAUAUGUUGUUUUUUAGUGAGUUCGACAUCGCCCCAACUCGUGACUCCGCGUGUUCGGUCUUGUUUGAUUGGAAUUUCUUCAACUCAGUGCCCAUGGGCUCGGUCUCUUUUAACUCG